rnacentral:rRNA from 1 species
GAUGAACGCUGGCGGCGUGCUUAACACAUGCAAGUCGAACGGAGCUUAGAAGGAAGCUUGCUUUCAUUUAAGCUUAGUGGCGGACGGGUGAGUAACGCGUGAGCAACCUGCCCUCGAGUGGGGAAUAACAUCGAGAAAUCGGUGCUAAUACCGCAUAAUGUCGAGAGACCGCAUGAUCUUUCGACCAAAGGAUUUAUUCGCUUGAGGAUGGGCUCGCGUCCGAUUAGUUAGUUGGUGAGGUAACGGCCCACCAAGACUUCGAUCGGUAGCCGAACUGAGAGGUUGAUCGGCCACAUUGGGACUGAGACACGGCCCAGACUCCUACGGGAGGCAGCAGUGGGGAAUAUUGGGCAAUGGGCGAAAGCCUGACCCAGCAACGCCGCGUGAAGGAUGAAGGUCUUCGGAUUGUAAACUUCUUUGAUGGGGAAGAAUAAAAUGAC